UACGUAGGGUGCGAGCGUUGUCCGGAAUUAUUGGGCGUAAAGGGCUCGUAGGCGGUUUGUCGCGUCGGGAGUGAAAACCAUGGGCUUAACUCAUGGCUUGCUUCCGAUACGGGCAGACUGGAGGUAUGCAGGGGAGAACGGAAUUCCUGGUGUAGCGGUGAAAUGCGCAGAUAUCAGGAGGAACACCGGUGGCGAAGGCGGUUCUCUGGGCAUGUCCUGACGCUGAGGAGCGAAAGUGUGGGGAGCGAACAGG
rnacentral:rRNA from 1 species